UUCUACUAAAUCUAUACACUAAUGUUCAUACAAACGGCCAUAUUAUACCAAAAAGAGAUCGCUAUUCCUGACUAAUGAUGGCAUAAAUAAUCAUGAACGCAGACCUCUCUCCAGAACUGUGAUGAGGAAAUGUUGAAUAACUCAGUCUUACAGACACGGUUUAUAGCUCUCCACGCAUGAUUGGUCAUCGUUGAUAGACAUGGUCCGUCUGACGCUCCAGGAUCGAAAUGAAAGAUGUCGUUCUGAAACCUGCAUUUAAGUGAUCUGGAAUAUUCAACACCGCAGAUGGCAUGGUAGGACUCUUGAGGAAUUUCCAGGUCUGCUUCGGAUGUAAGAAAGUAUGACAAAACAAAACCAAACUUGGAUUUGGGUUUUGCUUUGUGCAAUUGACUGCGCCUUCUGUGACGUUGACAUUCUUGCACCGGAAGUCAUAGUUCUACAGAGAAGCGGACUGGAAAUAACGUGUAGACCCUCAAAGGAUGGAGAGACUAUUGAUAGAGUGACCAGUAUCGUCCUACUCAGUAACAGGGCCGCGCCCUUCACCAGCAGCGUGUCCCAGAUAGCCCGGGCCGUCAACAGGAACACCAACGAAACCAUGCUGACCAAGUACUGGACAGACAAAAGAUACAAACUUACAGGUAAAACCGGCAACCCUCUCGUGUCCUACCUGAAGCUGACAAUCAGCAGAACGGAAGUGUCGUGUGAGGACUCAGCGCACUAUAGGUGUCAAAUGGAAACCAUUAUGGCGGACGGAAGUGUAAAGACAUACAUCAAAGAUACGCAAAUAUCCAUAUCUGCUACCGAAACAUUGAUUUAUGACAGUAUGAAAGUUUACCCCAAGAGUCAAAGCAGCACACCGUACGGGCAGUAUCCACUCAACACUGAGCUAACACUGUCAUGUUCAGCGUUAGUCGAAAGUGAAAGUAGAGACUUGACAUGGUGCAUCUACACCGGAUACUCAACAAAAGCAAUGGAGUACGAUACUGUAAAGAGAAGUCGAGUGAGAAUGAACAAGCCGUGUGCCUACCAUUUACUCAGUGAAAUUCAAUAUGUGCUCAGUGAAAGUAAUGUUUUUACCUGGAUUAUUUGUAAAUUCGGUACCUGUGACACCUCCACAGACAAAUCCAAUGUGUUUUCUGCCUUCACUUAUUCUGAAGGAUAUAAAAACAUUUCUAACAUCGAAGUCCUUUUGACCACCUCUGUACCAGUCGAUAAAGCUUCAUCAGCCAGUUCUGCCGAAGUGAUUUCUAUAAUCUCAAUUACCAUGGUCUUUUUGCUGGUAUCGUUUGUACUAGCAGCGUUAUGGCUGUAUAAACGCAAAACAUCAGACAGUAACAAGAAGAUUACACUCCAAAAUUUGAGAAAUUACUUUAGAAGUAGGAGUAUAGAUUCCGUCAGUGAAAGCUGUCAAACAGAUAUUUCAACAACGAUUACGUCAGAGAACGAUAGUUCCAGUCAGCGAUCAUCGAAGGGCAUGUCUGAGAGUGUAAAAUCAAAUUAAUGCUUGUUCAGUAUGACAAAGAUGUGGGCGUCUUUUUUACUUGAUUCUUAGCCUCGACGCUAUGGGAGUAAUGAACUGAAUACAAAACUAUAGCGUUUGAAAGCAAAGAAGAAAAUACCUACGCUUCACUGGAUUAUGAGACUCCAUGAGGAUGAUUUAUUUUACUAGGCAUAUUGCAAUAGAGCUGAAUCAUUGCCCACACGUAUCAUUGUGUGUUGUUCUUAAUAAAUUACACUGCUAUGACCAAAG